UGGUACAACAUGUGUUUAGUUUUCAUAUGUGAGGUAAUCUUACUGGGAGUGAAGGCAGUGCGUAUGACUGCUUGAUAUGAAAGACACAUCCUGUUUUUAAAGGUGGAUCGUGAGUGAAGCUCUGCAGGUCUGCCAUUGGCUUGAUAACAGUGGUUUAUGUGAAUUGAGUGAAUUCAAUUUAUAAAUAAAUCUUUCACCAAGCAUUCACCUAUUUACUGACAAAACAGAUCCAAAUCUUGUUCAGCCUGAUGCUCAACCUUGUAUGAUGAUGACCACAGCCAGGUGAUGGAGAUCUGUGUUAAUCACAGCCUGCGUCUCAAGAUCAACAUGACAAUAGCAGACCAUUUCUUAUCUUACUCUUAUCUGACUAAAUGUUCAGCAUCAUUGCAACAAAACAAAGAACAUUAGAUGGAGUAUUGGAUGAUCCCGUAAAGAAAAUAAUAUGGACUUUUUUGGUGAGAUUCUUCAAAGAUUGACAUAAUCCUAUUGACUUUUAUUUUUACAGUUAAUAAUGCAUUAUAAACAUCCCAUUCAUUUGUAUUCUAUGUCAUCGAUCUGUUUGUGCUAAAAUGUAUACAUCUGAAUGUAAUGUCAAUAAUAUGUUAAUAUUCAGGAUUUAUUAUCAUUUGCAUGUUUUGAUGUUGCAUGUCAUGAUUUUAUUGAUUUCAUGUAAUUGUUGUCUAUUUAAAAUGAUUUUAAUUGCCAAAUUUUAUUGUUAAUUUAUUUAAUAUUGAAGCUGUUAUUUAACAGCCAUAUCUUAUUUGAGUAGUGAUUUGUUAUAUUUGCAUAAUAAUUAAUAUAUUUAUUCUGAUUGUGAUUUUAAUGCACAUAUUUAUUAUUGUAUGACACCUCAUGUAAUGAAAAAGUGAAAAUAAAAGUAUGUUCUGAUGUCUUGCAAUUCUGUUUUUAAACUGUUAAACCUUAUAAAGUGCUAUAAAUAAGAAAAAAACAAAUAAAAAAUAAUCCUCCUGACUGCUGAUAAAUGAAAGGGUUCUUUAUAGCACCACUGAGGUUCUAUUUAGCACUUUUUCAAGGCAAGGUUCUAUAUAGAACCAUGUUAAAAAGGGUUCUAUAUAGUACCAGAAAGGGUGCUGCUAUUGUUACAAGCUGAAGAACCCUUAUUUGGUACUAUAUAGAACCAUUUUUCUUAAGA